GUGGAUUAGAUACCCUGGUCGUCCACGCCCUAAACGAUGUCAACUGGGUGUUGGGGGAGCGAUUCCUCAGUACCGUAGCUAACGCGUGAAGUUGACCGCCUGGGGAGUACGGCCGCAAGGUUAAAACUCAAAGGAAUUGACGGGGACCCGCACAAGCGGUGGAUGAUGUGGAUUAAUUCGAUGCAACGCGAACAACCUUACCUACCCUUGACAUGUCCGGAAGCUCGCCGAGAGGUGAGUGUGCCCGAAAGGGAAUCGGAACACAGGUGCUGCACGGCUGUAGUCAACU
rnacentral:rRNA from 1 species